UCUUGAUGGCAAAAAGCUUUAGGGUAUGAAU
rnacentral:piRNA from 1 species